AGGCCCAUUAUUCUCUUAGAGACC
rnacentral:siRNA from 1 species